rnacentral:rRNA from 1 species
AGUGAACGCUGGCGGUAGGCCUAACACAUGCAAGUCGAACGGCAGCACAGUAAGAGCUUGCUCUUACGGGUGGCGAGUGGCGGACGGGUGAGGAAUACAUCGGAAUCUACUUUUUCGUGGGGGAUAACGUAGGGAAACUUACGCUAAUACCGCAUACGACCUACGGGUGAAAGCAGGGGAUCUUCGGACCUUGCGCGAUUGAAUGAGCCGAUGUCGGAUUAGCUAGUUGGCGGGGUAAAGACCCACCAAGGCGACGAUCCGUAGCUGGUCUGAGAGGAUGAUCAGCCACACGGGAACUGAGACACGGUCCAGACUCCUACGGGAGGCAGCAGUGGGGAAUAUUGGACAAUGGGCGCAAGCCUGAUCCAGCCAUACCGCGUGGGUGAAGAAGGCCUUCGGGUUGUAAAGCCCUUUUGUUGGGAAAGAAAAGCAGCAGGUUAAUACCCCGCUGUUCUGACGGUACCCAAAGAAUAAGCACCGGCUAACUUCGUG